UGCAUGUCUAAGUAUAAGCAAUUAUACAGCGAAACUGCGAAUGGCUCAUUAUAUAAGUUAUCGUUUAUUUGAUAGUGCCUUACUACUUGGAUAACCGUGGUAAUUCUAGAGCUAAUACAUGCUAAAAAUCCCGACUUCGGAAGGGAUGUAUUUAUUAGAUUAAAAACCAAUGCCCUCUGGGCUCCUUGGUGAUUCAUGAUAACUCUUCGAAUCGCACGGCCUUGCGCCGGCGAUGGUUCAUUCAAAUUUCUUCCCUAUCAAUUUCGAUGUUUGGGUAUUGGCCAAACAUGGUUGCAACGGGUAACGGAGGGUUAGGGCUCGACCCCGGAGAAGGAGCCUGAGAAACGGCUACUACAUCCAAGGAAGGCAGCAGGCGCGCAAAUUACCCAAUCCCGAUUCGGGGAGGUAGUGACAAUAAAUACUGAUACAGGGCUCUUUUGGGUCUUGUAAUUGGAAUGAGUACAAUUUAAAUCCCUUAACGAGGAACAAUUGGAGGGCAAGUCUGGUGCCAGCAGCCGCGGUAAUUCCAGCUCCAAUAGCGUAUAUUAAAGUUGUUGUGGUUAAAAAGCUCGUAGUUGAACCUUGGGCCUGGCUGGCCGGUCCGCCUCACCGCGUGCACUGGUCCGGCCGGGUCUUUCCCUCUGUGGAACCCCAUGCUCUUCACUGGGCGUGGCGGGGAAACAGGACCUUUACUGUGAAAAAAUUAGAGUGCUUCAGGCAGGCCUAUGCUCGAAUACAUUAGCAUGGAAUAAUGAAAUAGGACGCGUGGUUCUAUUUUGUUGGUUUCUAGGACCGCCGUAAUGAUUAAUAGGGACAGUCGGGGGCAUCAGUAUUCAAUUGCUAGAGGUGAAAUUCUUGGAUUUAUUGAAGACUAACUACUGCGAAAGCAUUUGCCAAGGAUGUUUUCAUUAAUCAGGAACGAAAGUUAGGGGAUCGAAGACGAUCAGAUACCGUCGUAGUCUUAACCAUAAACUAUGCCGACUAGGGAUCGGACGAUGUUAUUUUUUGACGCGUUCGGCACCUUAACAGAAAAUCAAAGUGCUUGGGCUCCAGGGGGAGUAUGGUCGCAAGGCUGAAACUUAAAGAAAUUGACGGAAGGGCACCACCAGGGGUGGAGCCUGCGGCUUAAUUUGACUCAACACGGGGAAACUCACCAGGUCCAGACACAAUGAGGAUUGACAGAUUGAGAGCUCUUUCUUGAUUUUGUGGGUGGUGGUGCAUGGCCGUUCUUAGUUGGUGGAGUGAUUUGUCUGCUUAAUUGCGAUAACGAACGAGACCUUAACCUGCUAAAUAGCCCGUAUUGCUUUGGCAGUACGCCGGCUUCUUAGAGGGACUAUCGGCUCAAGCCGAUGGAAGUUUGAGGCAAUAACAGGUCUGUGAUGCAA
rnacentral:rRNA from 1 species